rnacentral:rRNA from 1 species
AGAGUUUGAUCCUGGCUCAGGAUGAACGCUGGCGGUCUGCUUAACACAUGCAAGUCGAACGCAAGUAGAAAUACUUGAGUGGCGGACGGGUGAGUAACGCGUGAGAAUCUGCCUUUUGGUCGGGGACAACCACUGGAAACGGUGGCUAAUACCGGAUAUGCCUAACGGUGAAAGAUUAAUUGCCAGAAGAGGAGCUCGCGUCUGAUUAGCUAGUUGGUGAGGUAAGAGCUCACCAAGGCAUCGAUCAGUAGCUGGUCUGAGAGGAUGAUCAGCCACACUGGGACUGAGACACGGCCCAGACUCCUACGGGAGGCAGCAGUGGGGAAUUUUCCGCAAUGGGCGAAAGCCUGACGGAGCAAGACCGCGUGAGGGAGGAAGGCUCUUGGGUUGUAAACCUCUUUUGUCAGGGAAGAACACAAUGACGGUACCUGAAGAAUCAGCAUCGGCUAACUCCGUGCCAGCAGCCGCGGUAAUACGGGGGAUGCAAGCGUUAUCCGGAAUUAUUGGGCGUAAAGCGUCCGCAGGUGGCUAAUCAAGUCUGCUGUCAAAGGUUGGGGCUUAACCCCAAAAAGGCAGUGGAAACUGAGAAGCUAGAGUGCAGUAGGGGUAGAGGGAAUUCCCGGUGUAGCGGUGAAAUGCGUAGAGAUCGGGAAGAACAUCGGUGGCGAAAGCGCUCUACUGGACUGCAACUGACACUCAGGGACGAAAGCUAGGGGAGCGAAUGGGAUUAGAUACCCUAGUAGUCC